UCAUUAUCGAAUUUUGAUUUCGAGGAGAAAGGGCAUCGAUUGUCGCUGGCUGGCUUUUCAGCAUGUGCACAUCUAUGCUUUCUCACCUCGUCUCAUAUCCCACACACCUGUGCACCUAUUGUAGGUCCUCGAAAGAGGAUCUAUGUUUUUUCUACAUCACACACGUCGUAUGUCUAGAAUGUAUUUGAUAACUUGUCGAUCAGGCUUGAUUGUCCUGGUCCCCAAGGUUCAAUAAAACCACUAUACAACUUUCAGCAAUGGAUCUCUUGGCUCUCGCAUCGAUGAAGAACGCAGCGAAUUGCGAUAAGUAAUGUGAAUUGCAGAUUUCCAGUGAAUCAUCGAAUCUUUGAACGCACCUUGCGCUCCUUGGUAUUCCGAGGAGCAUGCCUGUUUGAGUGUCAUUGAAUUUCUCAACCAUGCCUUUUGUGCAUGGCUUGGACUUGGGGGUUUGCUGGCAGCCAUCAGCUCUCCUGAAAUGCAUUAGCAAAGGAUGUGCUAGUCUCUGGACGUGCACGGCCUUCGACGUGAUAAUGAUCGUCGUGGCUGGAGCGNCCUCUUUCAGGGGACCAUGCAUAUGAAUUUGCUUCUAAUACAGCAGCUAGUUACUAGUCGGUCAUGANCCUGGCGAACACAGCUGAGAAC
rnacentral:rRNA from 1 species